UUCUCACAAUAAUACGCUCUUUAUCUCUUCCUGUACAUAAGGAUGAUCGCUUUGCCCAUGAUUAGUGGAUUUUGGCAUGAGCUCGCCUCUUUCUCUCGUUGUUUGCUUUGCCUUCUGUCUUUUUUCAAUCCAGUUCCAUCUUUCCUUAGCUUCAUUCAGGAGGGCUCUAAAACUCAGAAGGAGAAGCUUACUGUGAGAAAUCUUCCGUUCAAGGACAUGAUUGCAGGCCAUCCAAAACUAAAUGGGAAAAAAAAUUGGUGAAAGACCAAUUGCUGUUGAUUGGGCUGUUUCAAAAAAGAUGUAUGCAUCUGGCAAUAAUACUUCUGCUGCAUGAGAUGGUAUUCUCCAUUUUCCUGCUCUUUGGAUCUACUUAGCUUUCUCAUGCCUUCUAUCUUCUUCUCUUUUUCAUAAUUGCAAAGUCAUGUGAUGUGCCAAUGCCAUGAGUUUUUAUUUGCACAGUGCUUUAAUACGUGAGUCAUCUUAUGCAGUGGGUUUAGCUUUGUGUUUAUUUGUAGUGCACAUCGCCACGCCACAUAAUUUACAAUCUUGUUUUUAGUUUUUUUGUAAUUUAUCA